UACGGAGGGUGCAAACGUUGCUCGGAAUCAUUGGGCGUAAAGCGCACGUAGGCUGCUCGAUAAGUUGGAUGUGAAAGCCCUUGGCUCAACCGAGGAAGUGCAUCCAAAACUGGCGGGCUUGAAUCUCGGAGGGGGUCGGAGAAUUCCCGGUGUAGAGGUGAAAUUCGUAGAUAUCGGGAGGAAUACCAGUGGCGAAGGCGCCGACCUGGACGAAGAUUGACGCUGAGGUGCGAAAGCGUGGGGAGCAAACAGG
rnacentral:misc_RNA from 1 species